AUACGGAGGGUGCAAGCGUUGUUCGGAAUCACUGGGCGUAAAGGGCGCGCAGGCGGUUUGGUAAGUCAGAUGUGAAAGCCCACGGCUCAACCGUGGAAGUGCAUUUGAAACUGCCAGACUUGAGUACCAGAGGGGAAAGUGGAAUUCCCGGUGUGGAGGUGAAAUUCGUAGAUAUCGGGAGGAAUACCGGUGGCGAAGGCGACUUUCUGGCUGGAUACUGACGCUGAGGCGCGAAAGCGUGGGGAGCAAACAGGAUUAGAAACCCUAGUAGUCC
rnacentral:rRNA from 1 species